ACCCCCACAGAUUAAGUGUAAUUUGAUCAUCAAUCAUGAAAAACUAAUGAAUCAUCCCCUCGAAACUUUAGUUAUAUGAGGCUACGAUUCCUCUCAACUUGAAGCAUACAAUAUUUCAAAAGUGCAAAAGCCAACCUGUAAAGACAAUAAUACCAGUCCCAUACGGAAGAAGAUCGCAAAAAAUCCCAAAGGCUGGCGGAGUAGCAUAUAUGCAUGCAGCAAGGUCUUUUCAUCAAUCUGGUUCACAUAAAAUGAGAGAAGAAAGCCUAGUGUUGAAAUGAUCCCUACCCAACUCAUGAAGCAAAAAAUCCACAUGCAAUCGAGUGCAAGACAUGAUCUCCUUCAUCUCCAAUUCUCCAUCACUAGCUGUAGGUGCAUAUAAGAAACACGUACAGUGUGAGCAAGACUAAUGGAGUUGGAUGAAUAUGGACGUUGACUCAGUUAUUAUAUAUGAAAAUGGGGUUGCUGAGCAACAAAGCAUGACAUCAGAGAAGCACAGCAGAAAUGAUCGAGUCGAGGCAUGCCACUACCGAAAGGUAUGAACAUUUUGACUUGUUUUUGGGGAUGAUUAAAGGGUAUGAAAAUGAUGUAAUUGCCCUCUGCCAUAGUCCCAUCAGUAGUCGCAGUUUAGUGGUGAAUGGAGACGGGUAUUAGGUACAGCGCGAGAAAAUCGUAACGUGUUUUGAGUUUAGGUUGGAAGAAUCACUUACUAGUUAGGAGAGAGCCUUGACCCUACCCUGAUGUGGUUUGGGUAAUUAUGGACUUUAACGUGCAUCUUGUGUUUGGAUUACUCACAACAACGUACAACUUCGUCUAAUUAAGAAAGGAAAUAGGAAAAUCU
rnacentral:lncRNA from 1 species